GGGCCUCUAGCUCAAUCGGCAGAGCUGCGGACUUUUAAUCCGUAGGUUGUGGGUUCGAGUCCCACGGGGCCCACGA
rnacentral:tRNA from 1 species